rnacentral:rRNA from 1 species
GACGAACGCUGGCGGCGUGCUUAACACAUGCAAGUCGAACGGAAAGGCCCUGCUUGCAGGGUACUCGAGUGGCGAACGGGUGAGUAACACGUGGGUGAUCUGCCCUGCACUUCGGGAUAAGCCUGGGAAACUGGGUCUAAUACCGGAUAGGAGCCAUUUUUAGUGUGAUGGUUGGAAAGUUUUUUCGGUGUAGGAUGAGCUCGCGGCCUAUCAGCUUGUUGGUGGGGUAAUGGCCUACCAAGGCGGCGACGGGUAGCCGGCCUGGGAGGGUGGACGGCCACAUUGGGACUGGGAUACGGCCCAGACUCCUACGGGGGGCAGCAGUGGGGAAUAUUGCACAAUGGGCGCAAGCCUGAUGCAGCGACGCCGGGUGGGGGAUGACGGCCUUCGGGUUGUAAACUCCUUUCGCUAGGGACGAAGCUUUUUGUGACGGUACCUAGAUAAGAAGCACCGGCUAACUACGUG